rnacentral:lncRNA from 1 species
UGCCGGUCACACUCGUCAAGACGACAACGGACCUGCGAGGGCGCUAGCAAUGCAGGAGAGGGCACAAGCCUUGAAGCUGUGGCGCAAGCAUGCAUGAAGCACCUUGAACACAUCAGAGUGAACAGGGGGGUUAUCAAAAGAGAUAACAUUGGUUUCUUCGCUCUACGUACUGAUGCACGCCUCAGAGAGCUACCAGUGCACGUUGCACAAGAUUUAAUGCAUGCAGUAGAACUUAUGCUGUAUGAAGCAGAGGUGAAACUGCGUUAGAGCAGUGAAGCAACUUGAAGUGUUUAUAUAAUGCCAAUGACAGCCACCUUUUUUAUCUUGUGUUCACUUCUCUAGUCCCAACUUAAAGGGGCCAAGACUGGUCACCCAAGAAUUGACGGUUAUUAGCAAAAACAAAACUACAGAGUCAAAUGUGCUAGUACACGUGUCAAAAGAGGCCUUAAGAUAUUAUUUUAGUCAAAAAUAAGCCGUAGAAAUGCUCGGCUCUUAAAACUCAACCUACCACAAGUGACCGCUGUUUUGUCAUGGCGUGCGAGACGUCGCAAGCUGAAGGAGCAGUGGCAAAUGAUAUGUGCAUUGCACAUUCACAGGACCCAUUUUGACGUCCGAAAUUAUUUGCUGCAAGUACUAGCGCUACAUUGCUGAAGCAGUAGCCAUGUUUCGACCCCUGGAAGUCAUUUAGUUUUAGUGGCGAGUUCAACAAUGCGGAAAAAUUUUAUUGCAAGCGCAGUUGACGGCGGAACACGACCGUCUGCCAGAAUGCACAAUGUGCAGCAGCUUGUCGAGCAAGCGGUUCACGAUGUCAUGGAUAGUGAGUACGUCAGCAUUGCCCAACUGUCAGGCCACUAGCUUGUUUAUAAAAAUAUGCGAUUAAAAAUUAAUAGCUUGACCAAAUCGCUCGAAUUUUGCCCGCUUGUAAGUGAACAUACAAGUAUCAUCCCAUACAACACACGUUAUGGUUGAAAAUUAGGUGUCAUGACCCCUUUAAGGCAACUUAUUUCUUUAAUAAUUGUAGCGAUAACCGUGAAAUACCUCAAAUAUUUUAACAUAAAUUAUUUAUUUUCGUGUUUUCAUGGUUGUAUUUGGACAUGACAGUUUUCCCUGUAAUGUAUCUGUUGUGUCACUGGUGAUUUUUCUCUUCUUUGUUUAGCUUAAGAAGAUGCUAAGUACAUAAGUUUUGUGAGCAAUAAAAUGCAUUUACAACCCA